AAUUGAAGGGUGAAGAGCAGAGAACUAUGAAGAUGAUUCAGGAAGAGGCACAUGGAGACUAGAGAUGAGGACCCUAAGACCUAGAGAAACUAAGUCAUUUGCUCAAGAAGACAAAGGCAUCGUCUGGUCCAGUUCAGCACAGAGCUAGCUGCAAGUGACAACCUAAGAGAAAAGUCAGCGAGAACAAAGAUCCAUCUCUUCGUUGACUGCCUUAAUCCCUAGAGCUGUGUUCUUCAAUUUGUUACUAUUUGCUACAAUUUUUCUGCCUAACAAGCAAGUUCUAUCCUGCCUAGGAGAGAAACUUUUAGUAAAUUCAUCUUCAUUCACUACUAUUCAGCUCAUGCUGUAAAAACUUAGAUAAUGCUGUCUGAAAUACUUAACUCCUGGUCAAAUGCAGCUGCUAUUUCAUUCAGUAUAAUCAAAGAAUAGCCAAGGACUUUAGUUAAUAUUUCUUCAGAUGAUAGAGAAUAAACAAAUUGUUUUGGAUAUAUCUACCAUGCCCUCCAAACAUGAUUGUUGAUAUCUUUUCUAUAUAAAUUACUUUCCUACAUAAAUGGUACUUAGCUUUUCCUUGAAAGAUAUGCUCUUCUCUCCAGCUCAAAGAUAACCCUCUUUCCCUCAAAUUAUAAGUAAUUUAUAUUUAAUAAUCUUUCAUACGAAUUUUUAAAAUUACAAAUGGUAAGGUACCACUAUUUUUUAUUUUGUAACAGCACAAACCAUCAAAUCAGAAAAAAAGAAAGGUUGAGUAUGAUCUCUGAAAAAUGAAUUCUAGUAGCAUGUAUAGCAAAAAUCAUCUUAGAAUGAAUAGAAGCCCUGAAUAACUCAAUGACCACCAGGCUUGUCUGCAUCCACGUUCUACUUGGUUAACUGUUAAAUAAUAUCUAACUUGUUGCAUUGUAAAAACAACAUGUGUCUGUAAACUGAAAAAUAGAUGUUAUUAUCCACCUGGUUUAGUCAUAAUGGAGAAAUGUCCUUCAGUUGCAUGAUGCUCUUCCUAUGA
rnacentral:lncRNA from 1 species